UCCUUCUUGUAUAAGCACUGUGCUAAA
rnacentral:miRNA from 1 species